rnacentral:rRNA from 1 species
GACGAACGCUGGCGGCGUGCCUAACACAUGCAAGUCGAGCGGAGUCGAUCGACGGAAGCCUUCGGGCGGAAGAUGGUUGACUUAGCGGCGGAUGGGUGAGUAACGCGUGGGCAACCUGCCUCGAAGACCGGGAUAACAGCCCGAAAGGGCUGCUAAUACCGGAUGUGGUCAAGGAUCCGCAUGGAUUUUUGAUUAAAGGGGAAACCCGUUUCGAGAUGGGCCCGCGUCCUAUCAGCUAGUUGGUGAGGUAAAAGCUCACCAAGGCGACGACGGGUAGCCGGCCUGAGAGGGUGACCGGCCACACUGGAACUGAGACACGGUCCAGACUCCUACGGGGGGCAGCAGUGGGGAAUCUUCCACAAUGGGCGAAAGCCUGAUGGAGCGACGCCGCGUGAGCGAAGAAGGCCUCGGUUGUAAAGCUCUGUCUGGAGGGACGGAAGGAAGUGACGGUACCUCCGGAGGAAGCCACGGCUAACUACGUG